rnacentral:lncRNA from 1 species
AGCACUUUCUGAAAAAGAAAAGCAUAACCAGGAUAGUUCCAAGGCAGACAGUUCUUCUGUUUAUUUUUUCACAGGAGCGUGUGAGAAAUGGAGACAGAGGGAUUGGAGAGAUGAAGAUGGGGGAUCCGUGGUCUCUGAAGCCCCCAAUGCUUGUGUGAGGGAAGACCAUCAUAUUGGACUAGAACCUACCCUAAUAAUCCCAAUGAAACUUAAUGACUUCUUUGAAGGCCCUAUCUCCAUAUAAAGUCAUAUUCUAAGGUUUGCUUUUUCCAGUGAAGCUUUCUACCAGAAAAAAGGCAAAGAAGAUGGUUUUUCUGAUAAAGUCCCAUGAGAAUGCUCUGAUGACACUGGAAAAGCUUUCUUUCAUUCAUCCACCCACUGGUGACUUGGAAAAUAGCCUCUUCACCUUCAAAUGAGAGAAUAAUGCUGAAUUUUUCUGAAUUUCUAAGACGGGAAGUGAUGUAUCACUAAAACGGUGAGCUCUCACUGAAACAGGAAAUCUUCUACCAGUGUGGGUCUGAGUUGAUCUCUCCCUCCCUCCCUCCAACCAU